rnacentral:sRNA from 1 species
AGUUAAAGAAGGCAACCUAAGUUCGCCGCGUCCUGAAAGUGCCUUAAUUUCUGCAAAGUACGCAGAAACACGGCAAAUCGAACUCUUCGCGGUUCGAUUGGCAACGGUUGCAUGACCUACAUCAUGUAGG